GGAGCGCGCGAGAUGCGGAACUUUUCGCUCCAAAUAAGCAAAAUCCCCAAACUCCAACUCAGACCAAAAUCCCCAAAUCGACCACCCUAACCUAGCCUCCUCCCCGAGCACACGCCGCCGCCCCCACCCUGCGCGGCUGCCAACCGCCCUCCGCCACACUCCAGUGCCAGCUUCCUCCCCGACCACGCGCCGACCACCGUCCGCCACACCACUGCAACUCCUCCCGGACCAUGCCGCCGAGCACCCUCCGCCGCCCCGACCACCAUUUGCCGGACCUCCAGCAACGCCCAAGCAGCCAAGCCUCCUACAUGGUCCUCCGCCAAGCUCCUCUAGGCUCGAGUUGCUCAAGUGUUUCAGCGGAAGGAUCUAUUCGAGUGAGGAUGUCCACAAGGAUGACGUCUAACUUCCACCAGAUCUGGCAUAAAGAGGAUCCCCAAGCGACUCGCAGAUGCGAAGGAAAAUUGAGCAAGGUUCCGCCUCCCAUGGUUGAGCAGUCGUAAGGGUUAUGUUGUCUCUCCAUGUUGCUGGUUAUAUGAGCCCAACUAAUGUUUGCUUCCUGUGAUCUAGGGAAGGAUAAAAUUGAUGAUUCCUACCUGCCAUACUCAUCUAUUUCUGUUUUCAGUUGACAUUCCUACUGUACGAAUUACAGUCUUUGGUACAUUCACUUAUCCCUUCGAAUUUGACAAGCAUGGAAGAAUCUGAAUAUCACUUAUCCCUCUCCCGUUACUAUUUAGCAUAUGCUAACUGACUGCUGUGUUUAUGCUUAUAUCCUUCGGUUAUAGUUUAUAACAAACCAAAUUAAGGAUUUUGUGUUCAUCUCUGAAACUUCAUAAUGAUGGUUGGUAUUUAAUCUUUCAAGGAAAUGCAGCAAGCUGUUGUACUAGGAAGAUUAUCCUGACAUGGGAGUUUUUUUAGGAACAGGAGAGUCGCACACAUAUGAAGUAUAGAAAUUUAUCCUUAAUGUGCUAGGCUUAAUGCAACUAGAUAAAUGUUCAACAAGGCAUAUUGAUGUGUUAAAUUGUUUUCAGUUUGAGAUGUCAAUACAAGAAAGGUAACCUUGUGUUAGAUCUUCAAUCCAAAGGAGAAAUUGGAGCAUCGGGACAUUUAAACUGAACCUAAAUUAAGGUAAUAAUAUAUGUAAAGUAUGUUAUUUUCUGUUGUUCUAAAGCCCUAUUGUUUUGGUUCAUUUUAGAAAAACAGGGCCACUCUCAGGGUCCAUUUUGAUUGAACUUAAACUGCGUACAUAGUUAACACCAUUGAGACAGACUGAGUAGCUAACCACUUAUAAGGUUUUCCAGAAAAGAAUGAUGAAAUAAAAGGGGACACCAUCGAGACAAACCGAGUAGCUAACUCGAAGUCUUGUGAAUGGAAGGAAAUUGGGAUAUUUGCUAAUUCUGUACUAGUCAAAACGUAUGUGUGUAGAUAUUCUGAUCAUUCUGGUUCAUGUCCUACUUAAUUAAGGUCUUCAUUUAUAGGCCUUGCGCAAAUGAUAUGAUUAUUUAACAACUUAGUUUCAUGGUGUUGGAUCUCACGUGAAUAAACUAUAUGUCGAAGUGUUUGCUGUUCUUUGCUUAACUAGAUAUCAAAGUAUAAACAACAAGCUUGUAUACAAUAUGUCAAAUUAUAAUCAAAUAACAAGCUCGUGUUCUUUGCUUAAUAAUGAUAAGAGCUUUACAAUUAACAGGCUCCAGUACAAAGAUGUCAAAGUUUUAAUAUAAAUUGUACCAACUUAUAAUGGUGGAUUCUAAUUAUAGUGUACUAGAUAAGCGGCCUUCGGUGACAUUUUGAGCUCUUGUCUGUUGUCUUCAACUGAUAGUGUAUAGCAGCCAACAAUGUGAAUUUAUGAUGGUUAUUUAGUUUAUUUUAUUGUACAUUCUGCAGAGCUUUCCUCAUUAAUUCAUUUUUUCACAAAAUUGGGAAGGCUAUUGUAUUGCUGCGUAAACUGGAGCAAGGCCGUACCAUUUCCAUCUGACAAAACAUCCUGAAUGUCUUGUCUAGUUCUUACACUCUAACAAGGCCAUACAUAACGGUGUUGUAAGAUGAUAGUCUGGACAUGAUUUAGCUUUUAAACUUACAGUAUACUGCUCUUACAAUGUUGUAAGAUUUGAAGGUCGAAGAUACUACACUUCGGUACAGAUCUAUAUCAUUAUUUGAGAAGUAAACUUUUAAUCUGCAGUAGAGUUGUAUCUACUAAACAUUGGAAUUUCUUGAUUAAUUUUCUGUAUCUAUCACUGCAAUGGUUACAGGUUGAUCUUUACUUGCAAUCUAAUUUGCAUGUUGGUGUGUGUUCUUCAGGAAUCAUGAUACUACUUUAUGAUCUGAUUGGUGAAAGAGGUAUUUUGUACGGUUCUCUUGUGUCCGACUUGUCUUUUUCUCUCUAUAUAAAGUAGCAUUGAAAAUGUCCUUGUAUUUCCUUUGACAUCUCAGAAGCUCACACCUGAAUAUCAUGAUAUAUGCAUGUAAGAAAGCUCUGUAUGUUCUUUUGAGUUAAGCCUAACACCAAACAUUUUAGUUUCUAUAAUUCUUAGUUAAUGCUGGAAAAACGUUUGAAUUUUAUUUGCUGUACUAGUUGCCUUUGUCUGCUCAUACAAAAAUACUAGAUCCUAUGAUGUCAAAAAUUCAUACAGGUUGUGGAUGACACUUCCUUUUUCUUGAACGUUGUUCCCAUUUUGUCUUAUGUGUAGUGUUUUCAAACAGAUUUCGAUGAGUCUUCACUUUCAGAAAACUAAACUUAAUAUCAGAGACAAUCUCACCAUGCCAUUAUGGGUUUAAUUAUUUGUCCAGACCUGAAACUGUUGUCAUGCUUUCUAGGAAGGGCAACUAGAUGUGCUUAAUUCAUGUGCCCAGGCUUGAAACUGCGGACAUUUUUUAGCUUCUUAUUAAAUCGAAUAUUCACUUGAUGCCUUGAUGGGAAAUUUGUCGAUAAAUUUUCUUGAUGAUGUAGCCAUUUUUCUUCUAAAAGUUGGGGUGGUGCACUUUUGUAGAUUCUGAGUAUCGUAAUAAAUGUAAUGGAUAUAAUGUUUUCUAAUACUACAUGACUUGACAUUUGGUUUUUCCUGUCCAGGUUGAAAAUGUUCCUGUAAGAUUCGUCAAGAUACCUUGCCUUAACCAUAUGCCGUGAGCUCACGCAGAACUUACAGGCUUUACUCUUUGUGUUUGUUUCAUCUUGUACUGCUCAAAUGUCUAGAAACUACAGAUGCUAAAUUAUGAGGGAAGUCUUCAUGUGUUUUUUUUCGAGAGUA